AAUGAAUCGUCUGAGUUUCCAUUAUUUCUUAUGGGGAAAUCCGCUUUGAUAUACAAGUGCUUUGGAUUACAAGCAUAUUUCUGGGACAAAUUAUCCUUGCAAACCAAGGUUUUACUGUACUUAUAA